rnacentral:rRNA from 1 species
UACAGAGGGUGCGAGCGUUAAUCGGAAUUACUGGGCGUAAAGGGCGCGUAGGCGGCGCGGUAAGUCACUUGUGAAAUCUCUGAGCUUAACUCAGAACGGCCAAGUGAUACUGCAGUGCUAGAGUGUGGAAGGGGCAAUCGGAAUUCUUGGUGUAGCGGUGAAAUGCGUAGAUAUCAAGAGGAACACCUGAGGUGAAGACGGGUUGCUGGGCCAACACUGACGCUGAGGCGCGAAAGCCAGGGGAGCAAACGGG